UAGGGAAUCUUCGGCAAUGGACGGAAGUCUGACCGAGCAACGCCGCGUGAGUGAAGAAGGUUUUCGGAUCGUAAAGCUCUGUUGUAAGAGAAGAACGAGUGUGAGAGUGGAAAGUUCACACUGUGACGGUAUCUUACCAGAAAGGGACGGCUAACUACGUGCCAGCAGCCGCGGUAAUACGUAGGUCCCGAGCGUUGUCCGGAUUUAUUGGGCGUAAAGCGAGCGCAGGCGGUUAGAUAAGUCUGAAGUUAAAGGCUGUGGCUUAACCAUAGUAGGCUUUGGAAACUGUUUAACUUGAGUGCAAGAGGGGAGAGUGGAAUUCCAUGUGUAGCGGUGAAAUGCGUAGAUAUAUGGAGGAACACCGGUGGCGAAAGCGGCUCUCUGGCUUGUAACUGACGCUGAGGCUCGAAAGCGUGGGGAGCAAACAGGAUUAGAUACCCUGGUAGUCCACGCUGUAAACGAUGAGUGCUGUGUUAGACCCUUUCCGGGGUUUAGUGCCGUAGCUAACGCAUUAACACUCCGCCUGGGGAGUACGACCAAU
rnacentral:rRNA from 1 species